rnacentral:rRNA from 1 species
GAUGAACGCUAGCGGGAGGCUUAACACAUGCAAGUCGAGCGGGAUUAGCAGCAAUGCUAUGAGAGCGGCGCACGGGUGCGUAACGCGUAUGCAACCUGCCUUAUACAGGGGAAUAGCCCAUGGAAACGUGGAUUAAUGUCCCAUAGGAUCACCGGAUCGCAUGGUUUGGUGAUUAAAACUGAGGUGGUAUAAGAUGGGCAGGCGUCUGAUUAGGUAGUUGGUGAGGUAAUGGCUCACCAAGCCGACGAUCAGUAGGGGUUCUGAGAGGAUUACCCCCCACACUGGUACUGAGACACGGACCAGACUCCUACGGGAGGCAGCAGUGAGGAAUAUUGGUCAAUGGCCGGAAGGCUGAACCAGCCAUCCCGCGUGCAGGAUGACGGCCCUAUGGGUUGUAAACUGCUUUUGUACCUGAAGAAUAGGCCCAACGUGUUGGGAUUUGCCGGUAAGGUAUGAAUAAGCAUCGGCUAACUCCGUGCCAGCAGCCGCCGUAA